GCUGUGGUAGCUCAGUGGUAGAGCACUCCCUUGGUAAGGGAGAGGUCGAGAGUUCAAACCUCUCUCGCAGCACCA
rnacentral:tRNA from 1 species